AUUGAACGCUGGCGGCAGGCUUAACACAUGCAAGUCGAGCGAGCGGCGGACGGGUGAGUAAUGUCUGGGAAACUGCCUGAUGGAGGGGGAUAACUACUGGAAACGGUAGCUAAUACCGCAUACCAUCAGAUGUGCCCAGAUGGGAUUAGCUAGUAGGUGGGGUAAUGGCCCACCUAGGCGACGAUCCCUAACUGGUCUGAGAGGCUGAGAAGCCACAUUGGAACUGAGACACGGUCAAGACUCCGACGGUAGGACGUAGUGGGGAAUAUGGCACAAUGGGCGCAAGCCUGAUGCGGCGAUGCCGCGUGUGUGAAGAAGGCCUGCGGGUUGUAAAGCACUAUCAGCGAGGAGGCGUUACUCGCAGAAGAAGCACCGGCUAACUCCGUGCCAGCAGCCGCUGUAAUAC
rnacentral:rRNA from 1 species